UUAAGCGACUAAGCGUACACGGUGGAUGCCCUGGCAGUCAGAGGCGAUGAAGGACGUGCUAAUCUGCGAUAAGCGUCGGUAAGGUGAUAUGAACCGUUAUAACCGGCGAUUUCCGAAUGGGGAAACCCAGUGUGUUUCGACACACUAUCAUUAACUGAAUCCAUAGGUUAGUGAGGCGAACCGGGGGAACUGAAACAUCUAAGUACCCCGAGGAAAAGAAAUCAACCGAGAUUCCCCCAGUAGCGGCGAGCGAACGGGGAGGAGCCCAGAGCCUGAAUCAGUGUGUGUGUUAGUGGAAGCGUCUGGAAAGGCGCGCGAUACAGGGUGACAGCCCCGUACACAAAAAUACACAUAUUGUGAGCUCGAUGAGUAGGGCGGGACACGUGGUAUCCUGUCUGAAUAUGGGGGGACCAUCCUCCAAGGCUAAAUACUCCUGACUGACCGAUAGUGAACCAGUACCGUGAGGGAAAGGCGAAAAGAACCCCGGCGAGGGGAGUGAAAAAGAACCUGAAACCGUGUACGUACAAGCAGUGGGAGCACGCUUAGGCGUGUGACUGCGUACCUUUUGUAUAAUGGGUCAGCGACUUAUAUUCUGUAGCAAGGUUAACCGAAUAGGGGAGCCGAAGGGAAACCGAGUCUUAACUGGGCGUUAAGUUGCAGGGUAUAGACCCGAAACCCGGUGAUCUAGCCAUGGGCAGGUUGAAGGUUGGGUAACACUAACUGGAGGACCGAACCGACUAAUGUUGAAAAAUUAGCGGAUGACUUGUGGCUGGGGGUGAAAGGCCAAUCAAACCGGGAGAUAGCUGGUUCUCCCCGAAAGCUAUUUAGGUAGCGCCUCGUGAAUUCAUCUCCGGGGGUAGAGCACUGUUUCGGCAAGGGGGUCAUCCCGACUUACCAACCCGAUGCAAACUGCGAAUACCGGAGAAUGUUAUCACGGGAGACACACGGCGGGUGCUAACGUCCGUCGUGAAGAGGGAAACAACCCAGACCGCCAGCUAAGGUCCCAAAGUCAUGGUUAAGUGGGAAACGAUGUGGGAAGGCCCAGACAGCCAGGAUGUUGGCUUAGAAGCAGCCAUCAUUUAAAGAAAGCGUAAUAGCUCACUGGUCGAGUCGGCCUGCGCGGAAGAUGUAACGGGGCUAAACCAUGCACCGAAGCUGCGGCAGCGACGCUUAUGCGUUGUUGGGUAGGGGAGCGUUCUGUAAGCCUGCGAAGGUGUGCUGUGAGGCAUGCUGGAGGUAUCAGAAGUGCGAAUGCUGACAUAAGUAACGAUAAAGCGGGUGAAAAGCCCGCUCGCCGGAAGACCAAGGGUUCCUGUCCAACGUUAAUCGGGGCAGGGUGAGUCGACCCCUAAGGCGAGGCCGAAAGGCGUAGUCGAUGGGAAACAGGUUAAUAUUCCUGUACUUGGUGUUACUGCGAAGGGGGGACGGAGAAGGCUAUGUUGGCCGGGCGACGGUUGUCCCGGUUUAAGCGUGUAGGCUGGUUUUCCAGGCAAAUCCGGAAAAUCAAGGCUGAGGCGUGAUGACGAGGCACUACGGUGCUGAAGCAACAAAUGCCCUGCUUCCAGGAAAAGCCUCUAAGCAUCAGGUAACAUCAAAUCGUACCCCAAACCGACACAGGUGGUCAGGUAGAGAAUACCAAGGCGCUUGAGAGAACUCGGGUGAAGGAACUAGGCAAAAUGGUGCCGUAACUUCGGGAGAAGGCACGCUGAUAUGUAGGUGAAGUCCCUUGCGGAUGGAGCUGAAAUCAGUCGAAGAUACCAGCUGGCUGCAACUGUUUAUUAAAAACACAGCACUGUGCAAACACGAAAGUGGACGUAUACGGUGUGACGCCUGCCCGGUGCCGGAAGGUUAAUUGAUGGGGUCAGCGCAAGCGAAGCUCUUGAUCGAAGCCCCGGUAAACGGCGGCCGUAACUAUAACGGUCCUAAGGUAGCGAAAUUCCUUGUCGGGUAAGUUCCGACCUGCACGAAUGGCGUAAUGAUGGCCAGGCUGUCUCCACCCGAGACUCAGUGAAAUUGAACUCGCUGUGAAGAUGCAGUGUACCCGCGGCAAGACGGAAAGACCCCGUGAACCUUUACUAUAGCUUGACACUGAACAUUGAGCCUUGAUGUGUAGGAUAGGUGGGAGGCUUUGAAGUGUGGACGCCAGUCUGCAUGGAGCCGGCCUUGAAAUACCACCCUUUAAUGUUUGAUGUUCUAACGUGGACCCGUGAUCCGGGUUGCGGACAGUGUCUGGUGGGUAGUUUGACUGGGGCGGUCUCCUCCUAAAGAGUAACGGAGGAGCACGAAGGUUGGCUAAUCCUGGUCGGACAUCAGGAGGUUAGUGCAAUGGCAUAAGCCAGCUUGACUGCGAGCGUGACGGCGCGAGCAGGUGCGAAAGCAGGUCAUAGUGAUCCGGUGGUUCUGAAUGGAAGGGCCAUCGCUCAACGGAUAAAAGGUACUCCGGGGAUAACAGGCUGAUACCGCCCAAGAGUUCAUAUCGACGGCGGUGUUUGGCACCUCGAUGUCGGCUCAUCACAUCCUGGGGCUGAAGUAGGUCCCAAGGGUAUGGCUGUUCGCCAUUUAAAGUGGUACGCGAGCUGGGUUUAGAACGUCGUGAGACAGUUCGGUCCCUAUCUGCCGUGGGCGCUGGAGAACUGAGGGGGGCUGCUCCUAGUACGAGAGGACCGGAGUGGACGCAUCACUGGUGUUCGGGUUGUCAUGCCAAUGGCACUGCCCGGUAGCUAAAUGCGGAAGAGAUAAGUGCUGAAAGCAUCUAAGCACGAAACUUGCCCCGAGAUGAGUUCUCCCUGACCCUUUAAGGGUCCUGAAGGAACGUUGAAGACGACGACGUUGAUAGGCCGGGUGUGUAAGCGCAGCGAUGCGUUGAGCUAACCGGUACUAAUGAACCGUGAGGCUUAACCUU
rnacentral:rRNA from 1 species